UACAGAGGUCUCGAGCGUUAGGCGGAAUCACUGGGCUUAAAGCGUGUGUAGGCGGAUCGGUAAGUACCUUGUGAAAUCCCACAGCUUAACUGUGGAACUGCUCGGUAUACUGCCAGUCUUGAGCCAGCUAGGGGCUACCGGAACAAAUGGUGGAGCGGUGAAAUGCGUAGAUAUCAUGAGGAACACCAGAGGCGAAGGCGGCUACCUGGACAAUUGCUGACGCUCAGGCACGAAAGCGUGGGGAGCAAAAGGG
rnacentral:rRNA from 1 species